AUUGAACGCUGGCGGCAGGCCUAACACAUGCAAGUCGAGCGGAUGAAGGGAGCUUGCUCCUGGAUUCAGCGGCGGACGGGUGAGUAAUGCCUAGGAAUCUGCCUGGUAGUGGGGGAUAACGUCCGGAAACGGGCGCUAAUAUCGCAUACGUCAUGAGGGAGAAAGUGGGGGUUCUUCGGACCUCACGCUAUCAGAUGAGCCUAGGUCGGAUUAGCUAGUUGGUGGGGUAAAGGCCUACCAAGGCGACGAUCCGUAACUGGUCUGAGAGGAUGAUCAGUCACACUGGAACUGAGACACGGUCCAGACUCCUACGGGAGGCAGCAGUGGGGAAUCUUGGACAAUGGGCGAAAGCCUGAUCCAGCCAUGCCGCGUGAGUGAAGAAGGUCUUCGGAUUGUAAAGCACUUUAAGUUGGGAGGAAGGGAAGUAAGUUAAUACCUUGCUGUUUUGACGUUACCAACAGAAUAAGCACCGGCUAACUUCGUG
rnacentral:rRNA from 1 species